rnacentral:rRNA from 1 species
AGCGAAUGCUGGCGGCAGGCCUAACACAUGCAAGUCGAACGGACCCUUCGGGGUUAGUGGCGGACGGGUGAGUAACACGUGGGAACGUGCCCUUUGGUUCGGAACAACUCAGGGAAACUUGAGCUAAUACCGAAUGUGCCCUUCGGGGGAAAGAUUUAUCGCCAUUGGAGCGGCCCGCGUCUGAUUAGCUAGUUGGUGGGGUAAUGGCCCACCAAGGCUACGAUCAGUAGCUGGUCUGAGAGGAUGAUCAGCCACAUUGGGACUGAGACACGGCCCAAACUCCUACGGGAGGCAGCAGUGGGGAAUCUUGCGCAAUGGGCGAAAGCCUGACGCAGCCAUGCCGCGUGAAUGAUGAAGGUCUUUGGAUUGUAAAAUUCUUUCACCGGGGACGAUAAUGACGGUACCCGGAGAAGAAGCCCCGGCUAACUUCGUGCCAGCCGCCGCCGUAAGAC